AUCUUCAUCUCAAUACAAAUCUCUUCUCUUAUCGUUUCUCUCUCUCAGAUCGGUAUUUGGACGAAGUGACUGAGCUCCGUCGUUAGGUCGAGCAGCAACCACGCCGCCCUCUACUGCUAUCCACUCCUCGGCGUCGAACCAGGGUUGCAGAGAGGGACGUUGUUGCAGUUGCAGUUGCUUAGGGAUUUUCUUGAACGCACCGCUUUCAACAAGAUGCAACGCUGGGUUUCAUUUUGCCACUCUGGACGGCGUGCACGGGCCUGCCCAGUAUGCCUGACUUUGGACUUCUUUCUGUUUUUUUUCUUUGUUUUGAAAGGAAGAUAAAUUUGAAAAUGUUGAAACGAUUAAUUUGAAAAUAUUUCUCUUCUA